rnacentral:lncRNA from 12 species
CAGGACAGCUCACUGGUCCCUGAUGCUCCACUCCCUGAACAAGGAAUCAGCCUGUCUUCCCUUACAGAGUUCCACCCAAGAUUGUGCCUAGCAGGCUACAUGACAAGAUGCAAAGGUUUGGAACACCACUUCACUGUGCAAAUGAAUCACACCCUGCAAAAUCUGCAGUUUUUGCUUCAACUUAGCUGUUGCUAGAUACUGAUGAGACCAUAUCCUACAUAUGACUAAAGGAUACCUACUCCAUUUUCUGUUUUCCUUUUUAAACGAAAAUCAGCACAAAUCAUCACAAAUGCUGAUCCUUUUGAGAUAGGAAGGCAA